GACGAACUGCCCAAACGUUGUUCGGAAUCAUUGGGCGUAAAGGGCGCGUAGGUGGUUCUGUAUGUCUGCCGUGAAAGGGUACAGCUUAACUGUAGCUUGUCGGUAGAAACUGCAGGACUUGAGGCUGGGAGGGGCUGGUGGAAUUCCCUGUGUAGCGGUGAAAUGCGUAGAGAUGGGGGAGAACACUCGUGGCGAAGGCGGCCAGCUAGACCAGUUCUGACACUGAGGCGCGACAGCGUGGGGAGCAAACAGG
rnacentral:rRNA from 1 species